UGGGGAAUAUUGGACAAUGGGCGAAAGCCUGAUCCAGCCAUGCCGCGUGUGUGAAGAAGGUCUUCGGAUUGUAAAGCACUUUAAGUUGGGAGGAAGGGCAUUAACCUAAUACGUUAGUGUUUUGACGUUACCGACAGAAUAAGCACCGGCUAACUCUGUGCCAGCAGCCGCGGUAAUACAGAGGGUGCAAGCGUUAAUCGGAAUUACUGGGCGUAAAGCGCGCGUAGGUGGUUUGUUAAGUUGGAUGUGAAAUCCCCGGGCUCAACCUGGGAACUGCAUUCAAAACUGACUGACUAGAGUAUGGUAGAGGGUGGUGGAAUUUCCUGUGUAGCGGUGAACUGCGUAGAUAUAGGAAGGAACACCAGUGGCGAAGGCGACCACCUGGACUAAUACUGACACUGAGGUGCGAAAGCGUGGGGAGCAAACA
rnacentral:rRNA from 1 species